GUCACUCCAGCCCUAAAUGGUUUGAAUUAUCAUACCGGGUCAAGAGCUAUAUGGAUGGCUCUCAGUCCAAGAACAAGCUCCAGUUCGUUGAUGGCUCGAUUCUUGUGCCUUUAAUUUUAGAUCCUCUAUCCUGCUUGGUUGCAUUGUAACACGAUGGUUUGCACCUGGAUUACACGCUUUCUUACUCCAACGAUAGCGCAAAGCACCUUGUGGUUAGAAAAAGCAUAUAAGAUCUAGUCAAAUCUGAAAGAUCGGUUCGCACAAAGUGAUGUUUUUUUGAGUUGUUGAGUUGUAGGAUGAGAUCUUCUCCUUCAAGCAGGGUGACCUUUCAGUUAGUGAAUAUUUCACUAAACUGAAGAUUUUUUGGGACGAAUACAAAAUUCUUCAUCCAAUCACGAGGUGUUCUUGUAACUUUACAUGCUCUUGUGUUGUAUAUCGAGAGCAAGACUAUUACCUUGGAUUCUUGAAAGGCCUUAAUGAUCGAUUUGCAUCAAUGAAGUCUCAAAUCAUGUUACUUGAUCCUAUACCCUCUAUUAACAGAGCGUUUUCCAUGAUUUUGCAACAAGAACGAGAGAUACACAUAGGUGUUGAAUCAACUAUUUUGUUCAACAAAGGACCACCUCGUAUUUCUGGAUCUGGAUCAAAGAAUUUUGGUGCUAAUGGAUCUACUAAUACUAAGUUUUGUACAUAUUGCAAUUGUGCUCGUCAUACAGUGGACACCUAUUACCGAAAGCAUGGGUUUCCACCGGGUUUUAAAUUUCAAAAUCAAUCUUCUACAUCGACUUAUAAUUUUCAAUCUCAAGAUCCUUUAUCUUUAUCUAUGACAGAGCCGUAGACUAAUUCUCUUGGCAUAAUCUCACAUCCUUCUCCUCAAUUCAUACCAGAGCAAUACCAGAAACUUCUUGAACUUGUUCAAUCCAAUUCUUCUUCUCCUAUUGUAAAUCAUUCGAAUUCCAUACCAUCUGUUCACAAUCUCCAUUCUAUUUCUUCUUCGACUCAAAAUCAAGGUAAAAGUUCUCAUUAUACCUCUUGGAUCAUUGAUACAGGGGCUACCGAUCGUGUUUGCCAUAUACUUGAUUUCUUUUCCGAAUAUAAACAUAUUUCUCCUAUCCCUAUCAAACUUCCUAAUCAAAGCUGUAUCAUUGCUAAUGUUUCAAGGACCAUACGUCUUUUUGAGUCUUUGAUCCUUCACAAUGUUUUCUACAUUCCUAAUUUUGCCUUUAAUAUUCUCUCUGUUUCAAGGCUUACUGAUUCAUUCUAGUCUUGUUUCAUUUUCUUAUCUUCUAUUUGUUACAUUCAGGCUCUCUUUCCGUGGAAGACGAUUGGUAUAGCUAAAGUAUUUAAAGGAUUAUAUUUUCUUAAUCCUGAAAAAAUAAAUCAGACUAUGGCUGUUUCAAUCUCCGCAGCUCAACAACAUCCUACCACUUCCUCAACUCAAUCCACUUCACUUGAUUUGUGGCGUCACUGAAUAGGAUGUCAUUUGUUAUGAGCAUAUUUUCCCUUAUGUUGAUAUUACAUCACAAGAUUCAACCAUUCCUCUUCCUGCUGAUGUACCAUCUCUUAAUUACCUGAUUAUUCCCAAUUUAGCUGCCACUUCCACUCAUAUAAUUGAUCCUAACUCCUCAUCUUUUCCUUCCAAUUCCUUCCCUACUACCUCUGAUUCUUCUUCUACUUUAACUGCACCCACACGAACUUCCUCCAGGCCACAUAAAACUCCUACUUAUUUGCAGGAUUACUAUUGUUCAUCCUUUACUACUUCAGCUGCAUCAUUCUCUUCAGGUAACAAAUAUCCGCUUUCUUCUGUUCUUUCCUGUCAUUCUCUUUCUCCUUUUCAAAAAAAAUUUUGUUCAAUGAUUUCUUCUGAUGAUAUUCCCAAAACUUACUGUCAAGCUUCUAAAUAUAAACCUUAGAGACAUGCAUUGGAUGCUGAAAUAAAGGCUCUGGAAUAAACUCAAACUUGGAUCCUUACUCAUUUUCCUAAUGGGAAACAUCCCAUUGGAUGUAAAUGGGUUUUCACUAAGAAAUAUAAGUCUGAUGGUACUCUUGAUCGAUAUAAAGCCCGGCUGGUUGUCAAAGGCUUUACUCAAACAGAGGGCAUUGAUUACGUUGACACUUUUUCCCUAAUUGCUAAAGUGACUACUGUUAGAUUACUUUUAGCUUUAGCAUCUGCUAAUAACUGGCAUCUUCAACAACUUGACAGUCAAUAAUGCUUUCCUUCAUGGUAACCUUGAUGAAGAGGUAUACAUGGUUUUGCCUCCUGCUUUUUAGUCUUCUGAUUCAACUCUUGUCUGUAAAUUGCAAAAAUCUCUUUAUGGAUUAAAACAAGCCCGAGGAAGUGAUUUGAAAAACUUUCAACUGCCCUUAUUUCAUAUAGGUAUACUGAGUCUAAGGUUGACUAUUCUUUCUAUAUUAAAGUCUAUGGUACCAGUUUUACAGCUCUUCUAGUGUAUGUUGAUGAUAUUCUUCUUACUGGUAAUGAUUUGUCUGAAAUUGAGACAAUAAAACAUAACUUGGAUGUUAGUUUUAAGAUCAAGAAUCUUGGUCCUAUCAAGUACUUUCUCGGCCUUGAGGCAGCUAGAAGGCAAGCUGGUAUUUCUAUUUACCAACGCAAUUUCGCUAUUUAUCUCUUAACUGAAGCAGGGUACACUGAUUGCAAACCUACCUCCACCCUAAUGGAUAGGAAUGCUAAGCUGAGUUUAGAUACAGGUACUCCUUUAUUAGAUAGAACUGCUUAUUGUCAACUUGUUGGCAGAUUAUUAUAUCUUACCACUACCAGGCUGAAUAUAUCAUUUACUGCUCAACAACUUAGUCAAUUUAUGGCUAACCCUACUAAUCUACACCUUCAAGCAGCACAUCGAGUUCUUCGAUACAUUAAAUCUGCACCAGCUUAGGGGCUGUUCUUCCCUUCUAAGUCUGAUGUGCAAUUAAAAGGACUCAGUGACAAUGAUUGGGCUACAUGUGUGGAUUCUAGGAGAUUUAUUCUCCGGCGAUUGUGUUUUUAUUGAUAAUUCUCUCAUCUCUUGGAAAUCUAAAAAACAAAGUACUGUCUCGAGAUCAUCUUCUGAAGCUGAAUACCGGGCAUUAGCCAUGACUACAUUCAGUCUACAAUUCAGAUUGCUUCCAACCCUACAUUUCACCAGCGGACAAAGCACAUUGAAUUGGAUUGCCAUUUGGUGUGAGACAAAGUCUAAGAGGGUGUCAUUCAUAUUCUUCCGCUACGUUCUCAGGAUCAAUUAGCCGACCUAUUUACCAAACCUCUUUACCCCUGCUCCCUUUAAGUUUCUUGUGUCCAAGUUGAGCAUGAUUGACAUACAUGCUCUAGCUUGUAGGGGGUGACAGACUAUAAUAUAGAUAUAGGAUAACAUUUUGUUGCAUUUUGUUAGAUUAGUUAUUCUGUUAUUUAUUUGUUAUAGAGUAAAUAGUCUGACCCACACGUGUAUAUAUAGUAAAGUGUAA